UGCUUAACACAUGCAAGUUGAACGGCAACACGUUGUGUAGCAAUACACGAUGGUGGCGAGUGGCGGACGGGUGAGUAACGCGUAGGAAUCUGCCUUGAAGAGGGGGACAACCCGAGGAAACUCGGGCUAAUACCGCAUAGACUCGAGAGAGUAAAGCUGGGGCAACCUGGCGCUUUAAGAGGAGCCUGCGUCCGAUUAGCUAGUUGGUAGGGUAAAGGCCUACCAAGGCGAUGAUCGGUAGCUGGUCUGAGAGGAUGAUCAGCCACACUGGGACUGAGACACGGCCCAGACUCCUACGGGAGGCAGCAGUGGGGAAUAUUGGACAAUGGGGGCAACCCUGAUCCAGCAAUGCCGCGUGUGUGAAGAAGGCCUUCGGGUUGUAAAGCGC
rnacentral:rRNA from 1 species